AGACGCGGAGCACAGCUACAUGCUGAGCAUGCUAUGCAGGACCUGCUUGCCAGCGAGCCCGUGAAAAUCCAGUCCAAGGAACAGGAACAGCUAUCACACAUGGCAAAAAGGCGAGAAAGGCCAUGAGAAACAUAUCAGUUCUCUUUCUAAAUACAGAAGCAAAGCAGCCCAUGAUAGAUGCCGUGCUGAGGCUCCUCUCCCUAGGCAGCACUGCAUCAGGAAUAAUCCCACACUCAGCAUCCUUGGAAUGAGAAGUAUAAAGAGGAGGAGAAGUUCAUCUCAGAACUUCAAAAAGACCUGCGCUGAAAUCCUCGACUCUACUGCGCUAUGCAGGAGGAGUCUUAGACCCACUUGAUUGAUGAAAACACUCAGACUCAGACCAGGAGCAGACAGGUAGAGAGCCGUGGAACCAGCUUGGAGAAAGCAAUUCCACCCCUAGGAAUCAACACCAGAGACAUAUUAGAUACAUGUUCCCAAAAAGACAUGCGAGCUGUGGUCCCAGCACUUUGGGAGGCCGAGGCGGGCAGAUCACAAGCUACUGGCUUAGAGCUCCCACCUCCAGAAGGCCUUUCUCCGUCCGGCCCAUCCAGCCACCACCACCUCACACCCUGCCUCCUGCACUG